rnacentral:rRNA from 1 species
UACGGGGGGGGCAAGCGUUGUUCGGAAUUACUGGGCGUAAAGGGCUCGUAGGCGGCCAACUAAGUCGGACGUGAAAUCCCCAGGCUCAACCUGGGAACUGCGUCCGAUACUGGAUGGCUUGAAUCCGGGAGAGGGAUGCAGAAUUCCAGGUGUAGCGGUGAAAUGCGUAGAUAUCUGGAGGAAUACCGGUGGCGAAGGCGGCAUCCUGGACCAAUUCUGACGCUGAGUGAGCGAAAGCCAGGGGAGCAAACGGG